UUCACGCUACCUCUAACACCAGCAUUAUUGACCAAAGCAUCGAUUCCACUAAAGGCUUCCCAAGCCAUCUGUACGGAUCUAUCAAUUGUAGGACCAUCAGCGCAGACGUCAAGUUCCACAGCAACAGCUCGUGAACCAGAACUGUGCUUAUCAUUUGCCGAUGAAGGAGAAGGAAGCUGAUUGAUUUCUUCACACAGAGAUUUGAGACGAUCAACACGGCGAGCGGCCGCGACAAUCCUGCAGCCGGCUUUGGCAAGGUU
rnacentral:misc_RNA from 1 species